rnacentral:lncRNA from 1 species
AUUAGAUUGCAGCUCUGACUCAGAGCAGCGUGCGGAGGCUCGCAUUGUGAAUUUUAGCUCCAGAUAAACUUCAAGAACAAACCAGCAAUCCUGAGAGGACCCACAGACCCUCUGAAAAAAGCGGACUGUUCCUGCAACACCCAGGAGACACCCCAAAUACUAUGAAGAAUCUGAGGCACAAAGAGGUCAACUGGCUUGCCCAAGGGUACUUGGCAGACUGACACUAGAAGAAAUAUUUUAAAAAAUUACUUGAGUGGAAGAAUAUGAUAAUACACAGGAACUUGGAUCCACAAAAAGAAAGAAAGUUCUUCAGAAACAGCUAAAAAGAAACUAUCAGAAAUCUCUUGCCUGGAUUAUAGAAACAACACUUGGAAGCCUCAUUUCAGUGAUUGCAGCUUUUGCCCUUAUAUCCGUCCAACUGCACUGAAGCCAAGUUUCUGCAGAACUGGAAGACUGGUUUCUGGGAACCUGGUGAUUGGUCAGUCCAAGUCCAAAGUGGUUGCUCUUCAUGGAUUUGCACAAGUAAAUAUCAACAUUUCAGGCCAACAUUACUUUGUGAAUGCCAAUCCCUGGGCAUAAAUUUUUUUCCCAGCCCCUAUGUUCUUCCCUACCACCAGCCCGACUCAGCACCUGGUGAAAUCUCACUCUGGCUUCCAGGUCCAGCUCAUAUACUUCCUCCUCUGUGCAUCCUUCCCUCACACCCACCCUUCUCCAGUGCAGUUCAUUAUGUCCUCUGCAGUGUACACAGAGGACAUACAUCCCUCUAACAUUGUGGUUACCCUGCUGUGUGCUGAAAGCCACCCUGGUAUCUGCUUGUUUCUCUCUUUUGCACUUGAUGAAAUAUUCACAGGUGGUCACAGUCUCAGUCACCACUGUUUUCAGUAUCAAGCUUGGUGCUGAACAAUUGCUCAGUAAAUGUCCAUCAGAUGAACAGUGGGUACCUACUUGGGAAAACAUAAUAAAAUGUAUUUGUCCUAUCACCUAACUUUAUUUACAAAGGAAUUUUAAAUAGAAUCAUAAAGCGUCAGAAUAGGAAAGAAACCAUGAAGUCACCAGAGGAAGUGGUGGUAACUGUUUCCCAGUGAAAAUCCCCAAAUAGGUUUAUGUGGGCAAAUGAGAAGGAACCUUGGAAAGAUUCCACUGGAAGGCAUUUUGAUUUCCCAGAGUGGGCUGGCCCCUGUAAUGCAAACACAGAUCUGAUCAUGAGCUCUGAGCCGAGCAGACUUGCUCUUUUUGAACCUCCUCCUGCUAGGAUUCCUUGGGCCCUUCAAGGGGCACUCCCAGACUAGGGUAACAGGGGUUUCUCCCACUACAGAAGUGUGGAAUAUUAUGGAAUACUAUAAAGUGACUCUGUUCCCUCCAACCCCUUCACUUCCCGCUUACCUCUCCAUCCACUCUGCCCCCAUUGACUGAUUUCUUCUGGUUCUGAGGAAGUCUCUCCUCCUGACUCAGGAUCAAGGCCAGUCUCAGGCCCUGCACCACCAUCAUUCUCCAUGCCACAGGAGCACCCUCCACUCCUAGGCCCUGCGUGUGGUGGCUGAUCACUACAUGCUUAGCUGGGCCUAGCACAAUGCUGACGCAGGGACAUAUCCUUCUUCACUCUCUGGCAACCCCCUGGACGCAUCUGCCCUUUCAGGAUUUUGUUUCUGACAGUCUACCUCCAGCUGGCUUCUUUUCACUAGUUUCAGCAGAUUUAGGCUGGGUCUAGGUUUAGGGCUCCUGAGAAGUCUCAUUCCCCCUUCCUUCCCUGUGGGAAGGCCGUUUCUUACUUCCUACUGAAGAUGAGAUGUCUUCUCUAGAUUUUAUAGCUCAAAUGUCAAAUAAGGUGGGGUUUAGGCCUUGGGAUCAGCAUGAGGAGAUUUGACUGCCCUCGUUUCCCUCAUUCAAAGCUGUGCGGGUGUCCCCAGGAGCUUGCACCAGCUCUGCCCCAUCUGAGAAUUCCCUUCUGAUUCUCUGUUCAACUUCUUCCAAUUAAUGUGCUCAGGUUGUGAAUAUCACUAUGGGGCUUAAAGCAGUUAAAUUCUUCAAAACAGCUUUUGACUUUUAGCUUCUGGGUUCUCAAAAGUCCCCCAACCCCACCAGCUCCAGGCCCUUAUAUGCAGUUUUUACCCCAUUUAUACACUGCCGUCUGAAACACAGCAGAAAUUGCAUUCAUCCCUCAGAGAGUGUGAAUGUUUUGAGAAAAUUACUCAGCAUUUAAAUGUCAAGAUAAUCAAGACCACACAGCCACAAAUAAUUACAUAAGGAUAGAGAAGAGGCAUCUCCACUACCCAGGCUGCCAGGGCCCUUCCCAGGGCCAGGGAGUCCAGCCCACACGUUUCUCAGGUAAAGAGGAAAUAAACAGCAGCAAUGGACCACGGCCCUACCCCCCAUGGAAGCUCCCCCUGACCUCUCCUGAGGUCUCAUCUGAGGCCCAUAAGUACUUAGACUGGAUGGAUAUCUCACCCUCAUAAAGCCCUCCAUGGCAAUCAGUUUUAUUUUGAAAAUUGUUCUACAUCUCCCCUCUGCUAAGACUUGAAAAAAAAAAAAAAGGAAAAUGCUUAAGGAAAUAUUGCAAUGCUCUUUGAGUCCUGAUGAAGCAGCCAUACUAAUUCACUUCUUCCUUGUGGGAGGUGGUGAAACACCACACAGCUGCUCAAAGCCUAUUUUGGAAGUGGAUGCUGGAGAGCAGCAGCCCCUGGGCACUCCCUCCUCUGAAGGCCUUCACUGUGUUUCAAAUGAAUUGGAGGACUUGAUUCAAGCAGGGAGAUAUUUUCCUGAUUUGUUUUUUAGUGUCAGGGCACUGGCAGCAACUGGAGAUGUUUAAAUUGUGAGACAUCAGGAAGUGAGAGCAUGAGUACUUACACAUAGAUUGGGGGAAGACUCCAACCACAGGAUUUGCAUUUAGAGAGAGGGCUGGGACUAAGAUAUCUGGAUUCCACAGGACCAUUUCUAUUUCAGAGAGAUAUCCUCCUAAUUAAUUUCUUUACAAAUAAAGAGCUGUCCUUAUCCUAAUUAUUAAAAGUGAAGACAGAAACACACUUAUGGCAGGGCGCGGUGGCUCACACCUAUAAUCCCAGCAGUUUUGGAGGCUGAGGUGGGCGGAUCACCUGAGGUUAGGAGUUCGAGACCAGCCUGGCCAACAUGGUGAAACCCCAUCUCUACUAAAAAUACAAAAAAUUAACUGGGCUUGGUGGUACACACCUGUAGUCCUAGGUACUUGGGAGGCUGAGGCAGGAGAAUUGCUUUAGCCUGGGAGGCAGACAUUGCAGUGAGCCGAGAUUGCACCACUGCACUCCAGCCUGGGCAACAGAGGAAGACUCUGUCUCAAAAAAAAAAAAAAACAAAAACAAACAAACAAAAAACAAAAAAAAAACAAAAGAAAGAAAAGAAAAAGAAAAACCCCCCAAAAACGAAACAAAACAAAACAAAAACACUUACGAUGUUCUUGUCAUGGUAAUUGAUAUAAAUUGUCACCUUGCCAAGGUGCCAAGCUCCAUCCUGCACACAGUGGGGAGAUAGCACUCCCACAAGCUCAGACCAAGAUCAGCUAAAUAGGGUACAUGCAAGUCAAUGGCAUCUUGGCAGCUGAGACAGUAGGUGCAUGGGGCAGUCAGAGAGAGUGAGAACUGAGCCUGGUGGUGAGUUGUCUAGGAAAUCAGCAGUCCAUCUACAUAAGGAAUCCACCCUCUAUGACUUUACUGCCUCAUGCACGAUAUUACAUCCUUUAAGGAAGCCUUUAAUUCAUCUAUUGUCAAAACAGUGAAGGCUCAUAAAACUCUUACAGCCCAUUCACACAACUUCUCUUUGAGAAUGCAGCUGGGCACUGAUUUGGUUGAUGGUGUCUGUCUUGAAGCUUCCUAAUCAGACUGCAAAUCUCCCCAUUAGCUCAUCAAUGACCAUGUUACAAAAUCUAUAAGUCAUUUCCCGGGCCUUGUCCUACUUGACCUAUCAGCAGCAUUUGACCUAGCAGACCAUGUGCUUUCCAGGAUACCAUAGUCUCCUGAGUUGGCUCGCCCCUUUUUAUGUCAUUCUUCUUCAUGGAGCUCUCAUUAACCUGAGCUCUAAAACAUUGCAGUCUCCUGGUUCUUAUAAUUCAUAGACCUCUAAGGUGCUGCAUGGAUUUACACUAGGGGGCACAUUCACAUAGAUAUCUUGGUGCUAUCUGGAGUUCUGCAAUGCCCAGUUAUUUACUAAACCAUUGCUGAAGCAUGAUCAUAGACCAAUCAAUGCUGGUCUACCAACUGUUUGCUGCCAGCUCACAACAAGACAAGGACAGAUAUUGAGAGCACUUAUUUAGAAACAUUUAGAGCAAAGUGACAGUGUUGCUGCAUCCACACUACCCCAGUUAGACUCUUCUAGUGUUCAUGAUCUGAUCAGGUACAGACCAGUUUGGGCAUUGUUGAACUCGUGGAGAGACACACGUGAUGUGAGCUGUGUACCGGGCAUGUGAAAUAGGAUAGAGUGUGAUAUUUUCACUUAAAUUAGUCGAGUGAAAGUACAUAAAAUCUGAAUCCAUGUCUUUUAUGGAAAAAUAAUUUCAAUAAAAAAUAAGUAACCCAACUGUAGUUAAUAAUAUUGUAUUGGAUACUUAUAAUUUACUGAGAGUAGAUCUUAAGUGUUCUCACGCACACACAAAAAAAGAUUAUUGUGAGGUGAUGAAUGUGUUAACUAGUUAACCUGCUUGUAUUAAUCAUUUUACAAUGUAUAGGUAUAUUAAAUACCAUGUUGUACACUUUAAAUAUAUACAAUUUUAUUUGUCAAUUAUACUUCAAUAAAGCUGAAAAAAUAUAAUUUAAAUCAACUAACAUGUUAUAGGAUAUGUCAUUGAAUGUGGCUGCUGCUGAAGAAUUGAAGAUGGAUAUUGAAAAUAUAACUUUCAUUUUACAUAAAGGCUAAAUAUGAAUAUCUUGAGCCUAGAGAAUUUGCUUUAAAAUUCUUUCUUCCAUACCCAUCAACCUAUCUCUUCUACCAUGAGUAAUAGUAAAACAAAACAUAGAAAUAAUUUAGGUACACCUUGUCCUCAAUAAGUACUCUUGUCAUCAAUCCAACUUAGAUAAGUUAACAAGGAAGAAGCAAAUUCAUUUGUCCCUUUAAAAAGUUAAAUGUUGAUAUACAGUGAAUGUUCAAAAUGUGUGUAGAGAUUUUGAAAAUGUGAAAUCACUGUCUCAUUCUUAAUGUUUUGCUUAGCUGUAUUUCAAAAGGAUAAAAAAUAAAUGCAAUGCUGUCACUAAUCACCUAUAUGCAUAAUUUCAAUGAGCAAUGCACAGUUUUGGUAAUUUUUUUCUACAUUGUGCUUUUCCUGAUUAUAUUAUUGAAAUGUAUUUUCAUAUCUGUUGAAUAUAUUAAUACAAAUUUGGGCUUGCAUUUUAUAUGUAUUUAUUUUUAUUUCAUUUUCUUUUUCUAGUAAUUUAUUUUAUUUUUACAGAAGUGUCAGACUGCAGUUGACUAGAAACUAACACACACACAGAUACACAUUUAUAGACCUCAGAGGCAAUGCAGCCCUGGAAUUGUGCUAGUCCUUCUAUUUUCUAUGUAUACUUACACUCAUGAUGAUAUCAUCAAAUUUCAUGUCCUUAAAUUCCAUCAAAAUGCCAAUGACUUCCAAAUGUGUCUCUUCAGCCCAGACUUCUCCCCUGAACUCAGCUUUGCUUGUCCAAUUGCCUACUUGACAUUUCCACUAGGAUGAGUAACCAAUCCAAAACUGAACUUUUGAUCUUCCCCUAUUCCCACUCAGGAUGCUCUCCUUGUGCAAAACUUCGUCAUCUCAGUAAAUGAAAAGAACAUCUUUCUAGGAGCUCAGGCGAAACGCUCAAGAGUCGUAGUUGACUCUUCUCUUUUUCUCACAGUUCACAUCUAGUCUCUAUUGAAAUUAUCUUGGCUCCACCUACGAAAUACAUCCAGAAUUUAACCACUUCUCACCACCUCCAUUUCCAUUAUGCUAAUCCUAGCAUGUAUCCCCCGUGUCUGGAUUACUGCAAUGAUCUCCUAAACAAUCUCUCUGCUUUCAUUCUGUCUUCCAGUCUCUUCUCAGCUGAGCAGCUAGAAUGAACACUUCAAAGCAAAAGACACUAUGUCACUUCUCUGCUCAAAUCAUUCCAUCUGACUCAGUCUAAAAGUCAAUUGCAAUGACCUUUCAUACCAUGGGUGGUCUGCUCUCUUCCUUUGUCCACUAGGACCCAACCACACUGGCUUCCUUAUUGUUCAUCACAUGCUUCUGCCUUGGGGGCUUUGCACUCAUUGUUUCCUAUUUCUACACUCUUUUUUUUUUAAUUUAAUUUUUACUUUAGAUUCAGGAGGUACAUAUGCAGGCUUAUCACAAGGUUAUAUUGUGUGAGUCUGCAGUUUGGGCUUCUAUUGAUCUUGUUACCCAGAGAGUGAACACAGUACUAAUAGAAAGUUUUUCAGCCCUGCGUCCCUCCCUUCUCCCAUCUUUUGGAGUCCCUCAUGUCUGUUGUUUUCGUCUUUAUGUCCAUAUGUACCCAAGGUUUAGCUCCCACUUGUAAAUAAGAACAUGUGAUAUUUGGUUUUCUGUUAAUUUGCUUAGGCAAAUGGCCUCCAGCUGCACCCAUGUUGCUGUAAAACACACGAUUUCAUUUCUGGUACAUUAUUGACCAACAGAUCCCCUUAGCUUGCUCUCCAGUCUCCUACAGGUAUUUGCCUAAAUGUCAUCACCUCAGUGAGGCUUUUUAUUUUUAGAACCUACGUAAAUUUGCAUCCCUCCGGCUUCACCUCUUCCCUUUUCCUGCAGUAUUUUUCUCCACAGAACUUAAUACUUUCUAAUACACUGUAUAAUUUACUUUUUAAAGCUUGUCACUAGAAUAUAAGCUCCACAAGGGUAAGAAUUUUAUAUCUUUUGUUCAUUGCUGACUUCCUAGCAUCUACAACAGAGGUUAAAACUCUAAUAAGUACGCGCCCUUCUAAUUAUGAGAUCUGUUAUUUGACUGUGAGCCCCUGAUGAGGAGAUGAAACGCACUGCAACAUUUUGACUGCUCUGCUUACCCCAGUGCCAUGCAAAGAACAAGGAUUCAUGCAUACUUAUUAAAAAAAUGAAUCAAGUCUGUCUGGGAACAUUGCAAAUAAUAAGAAUGUACCACCAGACCUCCUGGUUCCUAUUAUCUCAUUUUGAAGAUGAGACAUCUGCAAAGUCAAAAGAUUUCUCUGGAUGUGAGAGACAAACAGUAACUUCUGUGUAGUUCUGGGAAGGAGGCAUCAUAGAGCAGGUGUGUUUUGAGUUCCAGUCCUCAGCAAGAGAGAGAGAAAAAAGAUUACUCAUAGAGAGGUAGGAAAAGGUUUUAAUAAAGUAUAAUUUCCAAGAAUUUGAGUAAGUUCUCUUAGGCCUAAUAUCCCUUUCCAACUUUGAGGACUUGCCCUACUGUCAGAAAUCUCCACAUUUUCUUUACUCUUCUAAAAAGUAACAUCUAGAAGUGAAACUUCUCGCCCCCAUGAGAUUAAAAUUAUAUCAA